CCUGGAACUGUGCACAGGGAACACACGUGUUUCCGUUUCAACGAAAACAACACAGCUUCACUGUCACAGCAAAGGCUUGUUUUAUACAUCUUUAAAACGACCUGAUGUCAGAAGAAGAUACCCUGGAAUUCCUGUUGCAGGAUGACCCAAACGAUCAUGCAUUCAGUAUAAACAUGAACAUGAUGUUGUCCACUAAGCUAAUGGUGGGGAUCGUAGCACUACCCUGCACACAGACAUGGAAUGAAUCUGCCUAGUCCAUUAUCAGAAGAGUGACCGGGACUGUUUGUCCCAUCAGAGAAGUUUCUCGAGAAGCAUGACAAGGGACUUGUAUGAAUGGGCAGAAGAAAUUUUCUUAACUGACUAUCCCAUCAUUGCCUGCUGUUGGAGACUGAACACUUUAUUGAAAAUCGCUGGGGUGUAGCAAACAGUGGGUGUCAUUGCCCUGAGAAGAGUCAGAGAAGGACUUGUAUGAAUGGGCAGAAAAAAUUUUCUUCACUGGAUAUCCCUUCAUUGCCUGCUGUUGGAGACUGAACACUUUAUUGAAAAUUGCUGGGGUGUAGCAAACAGUGGGUGUCAUCGCCCUGAGAAGAGUCAGAGAAGUAUUCAUUUUUACUUUAAAAAGUUUAGUUCAUGUAAAGAGCAUGAAGGCAGAUUUUACAGUUAUCUCCCUUAGACUAUGUAAAUUAUAAUACAGCUCUCGCUAAUGAUG